GCUUGCUUUUGAUGGGCGUCGACCGGCGCACGGGUGAGUAACGCGUACCCCUUCUGCCCACCACUUGGGGAUAACCUUGCGAAAGUAAGACCAUUACCCAAUGACAUCCAUAGAAGACAUCUGAAAUGGAUUAAAGAUUUAUCGGUGAUGGAUGGGGAUGCGUCUGAUUAGCUUGUUGGCGGGGUAACGGCCCACCAAGGCGACGAUCAGUAGGGGUUCUGAGAGGAAGGUCCCCCACAUUGGAACUGAGACACGGUCCAAACUCCUACGGGAGGCAGCAGUGAGGAAUAUUGGUCAAUGGACGAGAGUCUGAACCAGCCAAGUAGCGUGCAGGAUGACGGCCCUAUGGGUUGUAAACUGCUUUUAUAAGGGAAUAAAGUGAGUCUCGUGAGACUUUUUGCAUGUACCUUAUGAAUAAGGACCGGCUAAUUCCGUGCCAGCAGCCGCGGUAAUACGGAAGGUCCGGGCGUUAUCCGGAUUUAUUGGGUUUAAAGGGAGCGUAGGCCGGAGAUUAAGCGUGUUGUGAAAUGUAGUGGCUCAACCUCUGCACUGCAGCGCGAACUGGUCUUCUUGAGUACGCACAACGUGGGCGGAAUUCGUGGUGUAGCGGUGAAAUGCUUAGAUAUCACGAAGAACUCCGAUUG
rnacentral:rRNA from 1 species